rnacentral:misc_RNA from 1 species
GAUGAAGAACGUAGCGAAAUGCGAUAAGUAAUGCGAAUUGCAGAAUUCAGUGAAUCAUCGAAUCUUUGAACGCACAUUGCGCCCGCUAGUAUUCUGGCGGGCAUGCCUGUCUGAGCGUCAUUUCAACCCUCGCCCCCGGCUUUUGCUGGGAGCGGUGUUGGGGAUCGGCCGCCCGUCACUGGGAGGCCGGCCCCGAAAUAGAGUGGCGACCACGCCGUGUGCUCCUCUGCGUAGUAGUAAUUCACCUCGCAGGCGGACAGCGGUGCGGCCUGCCGUAAAACCCCCAACUCUUUCUGGUUGACCUCAGAUCAGGUAGGAAUACCCGCUGAACUUAAGCAUAUCAAUAAGCGGAGGA